GUAAUGUAACUGUUGAUGGGACUGUGAUGCAAACGCAAUCUAAUACGAGCGCAUAAGUUACUGUCUUUCCAAAGUUUAAGGUUAUUGAUGUAUCAGCUAUGAGAGUAUGUGUGUGAUUAUACAUGCGAUUAAUAACCCGAUUAUUUUGGAAAAACAAGAAGGACACGCGACAAAAGAGGGACAACUUAUGUUUAUUGACGAGUCGAUCGUGUCGUUGUGCCUAAUAAAUUUUCACGCUCGGUCUCCUCUCAAGGAUUUCGGAAAAAAUUAAGCGUUAACGAUCUCUUUCCUCUCGAUUGAAUGCGAUGGUCACUACGACAUCAUGCGUGUAUUCGCAUAAUGACGCCUUAUUCAUUGGGCAAUCAGCGCGCGAGGGAGGCGACAGGUGCGCACAAAGUGUUCGAUCGGCCGUUCAUAAUUCGCUGUGAAAUUUCAGAGAUCAUUUCGCGUCCUAUGCGCGCAUCAAUUGGAAUUUUUAUCCCGUUUUACACGGGGAUCGUAUAGUUCCAUUCGUCUGUUGACGUUUAAAGGUCAAAGUAUGCCUCGAUCAAAGUUGUUUUGUGUAUUUGUCGUGGGAAAUCUUAUCUGCUGAAAACUGAUAAUCACUAGGAAGUGAUACCGCCACCUUGUGCAUUGCACGAACCAUAAAAAUAUUGCAUUUUUACUGUUUUUAUCAAUUGUAUCAGAAAUUUGCCCAUGGCGUGUUGGUUAGACAUCGGAAUAAUGUUUAAUCCGUUAUUAGAAUUCAUUGAAGUCUAGCGUGUAUAGGAGAGCCACUUAACUAAUAUUCUCUCAAACAUUUUUCCCCUUUGAUUUUGCUGUCAUGGUUUUAACAGAAGAUGAGUACCGAGAAGCAAAAUCUAAUUCCAGACUCUCUAAUUUGUUCAAGUUACGUAAUGUUACAAAGAGCUACAUUAUUCAGUGCCUGGCAGACAGAGAAAUUCAACGUUCUAUCAACAACCUAGGGCAGCAAUCCAAAGCGUAUGGAUACAAUUGCAAGGUGAUCCACUCUCCUGAGAUGUACGCUGACGUUGAAGCCGUGCUGUGUGAGGGUUGGGAUUCAAUUAAUAACAAACCAUGCUGUAAACCACGGAUAUUAUCUCAUUUGAGUGCUGGAACUCAAGAUGGACAGCAAUUAAAUAAAAUCAUAGAAUUGAAAUCGCAAAUCACAAAUUUAGAGAAGACCAUUAUCGACUUGAAAAGAGAAAAUUUUCGCCAAUGUCAAAAGAAUCAGCAAGUGAAAGCCCCUGCAAGCGAAAAGAAAAACUCAUUCACAGUUUCAAAAGUACAAUCUGCUAGAAUUCAGCAACUGGAAGCUCUUGUCGCUUCUAGAGAAAGAGCGAUUCUUGCUUUUGAGGCAUCAAACAAACGUUUGGAACGUGCACUAAUAAACACCCUUAAUGGUUCGAAUGCCUACAAGGGUGUAUCUAAUGGAUCCAACGAAGGAAAUAAGACUCCAAGCGACGCAUCCUCUUUGAUGAAUUUGCAGAAUUUAUUGAUUUCCACCGGAAUUUGCUUAAUCGUCUAUAAAAAACCCGAAUUAGUCCAUUGGGUCUCAAAGAAAUUUGUUGAAUUAUCAAGAAUCAUCUCCGUUUAUUUUCUUUACAGCUUUAUUUGAAAAAUGCUUUAUUGAUCCAUUUUUCUGAUAGCCAUCCCUCUGAAUGUAGUUGCAACAAAAUAGUUGUACAGUAUGUGUAACCCAUUGUGCCCCAUUCCGCUUUAUCUCAGUCCUUUUCGUGUCAGUCCUUUUCUCCGAAAAAAUUUAAUCAUAUGCGUUGAGAUAUGCUUGCUGGAUGGAUAAAUGCCGUCUGCGGCUUCCAUUUGAGUGUUAGUAAAAUCAUACAUUUUAGCUGCUGAUAGUUUUGAUGAUUUUCUUUCGCUAUUGUCAUAUUUUACUGACAGCGCACAACACUGUGACAUGUGGAACAACAAAUACAUUUUCAACUGCUUUAUUUGAAAUGAAAAGAGCGAAAGGAGGCAGUAAGCAAAGCAAGAAAAUUACAUUUAAAUUUUACUCAAGGUUGAUCGCCUUUUGCGCGGAACAUACCAUUCCGUGUGCAACAUCGAGAAAACCAAACCCCUUAGGAUGCACGCCGUAGACAAAUAGAAGCUUUCCCACAUUGUUGAUACUCCCUGAGUAUAUUACAGUUUGUUCUUACUGUCUCCUCACUGAUCCGAUCCGCCAUGGUUUUAACAUUUACGUACAACUACCAAGAGCUACAUUAUCCAGUGCCUAGCCGACAGAGAAAUACAGAAGAUCGUGAAAAAGAAUGUGAUAUUUAAUGUAAAUGAUGGCGAUCGAGCAUAUGGGCAUAACUCUAAAGUGAUCCACUCUCCUCACUUGUAUUCACGGGCGAAUGCAGUUGACGGUCUAGGAUGGAAUUCGCGAACUUCUCAGCCAAUUCAAUGCCGCUUGAUGCAGAAUUUUGCUGAGGACCAACAGAAUUUUAAAAUUCAGGAACUGGAGAAGCAGCUCGCUGAUAAAAAUAAGGAGGUUUCUUAUUGGAAAAUGACCGCAAAAUCUUCCAGAGAAAACCAACUCCGGUUAAUAAACGAUUUGAAUAGGAAACAAUGCGAAAUAGAUGAGUUACUUAAUCGAAUUCAAACUGAAAGUGCUAUAGAAAAAGUUUUUAAUUUCGUAACAUCGUUUUUUCGUGACAUUAUAGCAUUUUGUUGGUUUUUACUUCACGGGUCAAUAUUACUGUUAAUAUUCUUGAUGUUAGUAUCAUUCGUAGUGUAAUUCAUUAUAUUCGUACUGGCCAAACGUCUUGAGUUAUAUAAAACUUUUUAUUGCUUUUUAAAUUAUUUCUAAACCUUCAUCAGAGAUGACUCUGCCUUCAUUGAAAUUUGAAUUUACGCAAAAACUGGAAUAUAAGUUGUGCGGACCAUUUCAUAUUUUUUGUAUAUUUUUUUAUUGUUUUUCUUGGUGUGUCACAUUGGCGGUGAAAAGUUUGGAGAAUCGUAAAGCAUUAGUUUCGUUAUAAAUUUUUGAAAAAUUUUAAAUGUUUGAAUAAUUUAAGUAUUUAUAGUUAAGCGUUCACCACGAGUUUAACACUUCAUAAUUUUUUUUUAUAUUAUAACAAUAAAUAAAUAAGCUUCAGACUGUAGACAUUUUCGACAGUCUUAUACGUCCAGCUUACGUCUCAGUCUGACACUGUCAGUCUCACGCAGAGAAAGGUUUCACGUCUGUGACAGUAUAUUUAGUAGUGGGCCUGCCGUGCCUACUAUUUGUUAGAACUAUUUCCUUAUCUAAUCACUCUGUGCAUUAUUUUCUCUUUGAAAAAAACAAACAGUCAAAAUCAAAUCAAGCAAUAGAUAUUAGCACUAUGCAGCGCUAGAUGGGGAUAUAAGCAUUACAGGGGGGGAAAUAGCCUAGUGGCUACACGAUUUUCAUUUUCUCCAUUACCAACAGAGCCAUGCAGAGCCAUUAAAGGGCUCUGAUUACAAGUUGAUUGCCUGUUUUGCGCGGAUCAUAUACCAUUCCGUAUACAAUAUCGAGAAAACCCCUUACGGUGCACGAGCAUGCCUUUGCGAAAUACAAACGUUUUUACAUUGUUUAUUGAUUCAUGCAUACACCCUUCUCCGCAUACAGUCAGUUUUUUUUUAAUUCUCCUCACCAAUCCCAUCAGCCAUGGUUUUAACAGUAGAACAGUUUAACUAUGCCAUUGAAAAAGUUGAACCUAAUUUUAUUUUGAAACGUUUGUUCGAUCUUCGUACAGCUACCAAGAGCUACAUAAUUCAGUGCCUAGCCGACAGGGAGAUUCAAAAGAUCGUGAAAAAGAAUGUGAUAUUUGAUGUAAAUGAUGGCGAUCGUUAUCGGCAUUCUCUAGCAUAUGGACAUAACUCCAAAGUGAUCCACACCCCUCACUACUAUUCCCGGGCGGAGGCAUCUGACGGUCUAGGAUGGAAUUCACGUUUCUCCCAGCCUAUUCAAUGCCGCUGGAUGUUGACUGAUGUUGAGGAUCAAAAUUGUAAAAUUUGGGAACUGGAGAAACAACUGGCAGAUAAAAAUAAGGAGAUUUCUUAUUGGAAAACAGCUGCGGGAUCCUCCAGAGAAAACCAGCUUCGAUUUGAAAGUACGAGAGAGAAGUUCGACCAAUUCUUAGCUUCUCUUUCUCGUGACAUUGAAGAUUUUUUUAAAACUUUUGGAUGGGCAAUCGGCGCAAUAAUAGUAGUGCUACUAUUAAUGUACACUUUUAACGGUGAUUUUAACAACCGCAGGAAUCGACGCUUUGACUGAAUAAUUGUUUUCUUAUUGAGCUUAAUUUGUGAAUCGAACGCAAUAACAAGAAUAUAAGCUGUCCGGAUCAUU
rnacentral:misc_RNA from 1 species